rnacentral:lncRNA from 1 species
AUGCAACUUUCCCAUCCCCAGGAUCACAGCUUAAGACUUGGGGCUAGAGAGAUACCCACCCCUGGGCUCAAGCUAAGGAACACAGAGACCUCAGGAGGACACUGCCCCGGGGCCAGUCCAGCUGAAACACCAAGAAGCAGCUUGGAGCCUGGCCAUUCGGGGUAUGAAAAACAUCAGGGGACCAAAGGCAAGGGGAGGAGUCCCAGUGGGUCCAGGACCCGGUUCCAGUUCAGGUUCACUGGAAACAACACAGUGAGCCUGCUUUGUGCUUUAAGUUCCCCAGAAGUGACUCUACAGAAUCAGAAAAUUACUUCUUCCAUCAGGCUCUUGAGUCCAGGCCUCUCACAGACUGCUCAGCUAAGCACCUAGCAGAAGAGAUUAGCCCCACAGGACCUGCCUUGGCUCCCCAGAGUCUUCUUGGAGUCUCUGGCCAGUACGAAGCCUGAAGGCAGCCACCUUCCGCUUGCUUUGGGGUUCUGAGCCUCUUUGACCUUCUCUUUCUCGUUUAUCUCACAUCCCCUUACUUAGCUACCAUUUACUGACUGUGUGCCAUGCAGCAGCCCUAUGCCAGCCCCCUGGCAAACAUGAGAUCAUUUAUUCUUAGCAGUAAUCCUUGUUAUGUUUGUGAUUAAAGUGCGACUCAUAAAAGUUGAGAAACAUGACCAACGUUACACAACUAGUAAGUGCUGAGGCCAUGCGUUCAUUCAACAAGUGUUAUUGGGCGCCCACCUUGUGCCAGGGUUCAAAGCUCCAUCCGAAGGCAUCGGUCUAAACCGCAGGCCUCUGAGACCAUUCCUGACCCGCUUUCUCGAUGUGGUGUCUGAAGCCACAAGCCCUUUCCUAACCUGGACUUCUCACACCCUCUCCACAAGGCCGAUCAGAAGGUGUUCGUCCUUGGCCUGGGUGCACUCUCCGAGGGACAGCCACUUCCUUGGGCUGUGGGGAUGUGCAUUCCUGUUUCUGAACCUGGGAUCAGAUGCCAAUGCUCAGGGUUUGGACUUGCACGUAAAUAGGGGAGGUAGAGCUCCAAUUCCAAAUAAAGGGUUUCAUGGAGCCA